GGGUUGUGAGGUUAAGCGACUAAGCGUACACGGUGGAUGCCCUGGCAGUCAGAGGCGAUGAAGGGCGUGCUAAUCUGCGAUAAGCGCCGGUAAGGUGAUAUGAACCGUUAUAACCGGCGAUACCCGAAUGGGGAAACCCAGUGUGACUCGUCACACUAUCAUUAACUGAAUCCAUAGGUUAAUGAGGCGAACCGGGGGAACUGAAACAUCUAAGUACCCCGAGGAAAAGAAAUCAACCGAGAUUCCCCCAGUAGCGGCGAGCGAACGGGGAGGAGCCCAGAGCCUGAAUCAGCAUGUGUGUUAGUGGAAGCGUCUGGAAAGGCGCGCGAUACAGGGUGACAGCCCCGUACACAAAAGCGCAUGUGCUGUGAGCUCGAUGAGUAGGGCGGGACACGUGGUAUCCUGUCUGAAUAUGGGGGGACCAUCCUCCAAGGCUAAAUACUCCUGACUGACCGAUAGUGAACCAGUACCGUGAGGGAAAGGCGAAAAGAACCCCGGCGAGGGGAGUGAAAAAGAACCUGAAACCGUGUACGUACAAGCAGUGGGAGCCCCACCACUAAGCCAGUGGUGAACUCACAUACGCAUCCUUUGCUGAAGGUGCGGUUAACGGAGCGCAAGCGACGUUCAACCUCAAAAGAAGCAGAGGGGGCUUAGUGGUGGGGUGACUGCGUACCUUUUGUAUAAUGGGUCAGCGACUUAUAUUCUGUAGCAAGGUUAACCGAAUAGGGGAGCCGGAGGGAAACCGAGUCUUAAUUGGGCGUUAAGUUGCAGGGUAUAGACCCGAAACCCGGUGAUCUAGCCAUGGGCAGGUUGAAGGUUGGGUAACACUAACUGGAGGACCGAACCGACUAAUGUUGAAAAAUUAGCGGAUGACCUGUGGCUGGGGGUGAAAGGCCAAUCAAACCGGGAGAUAGCUGGUUCUCCCCGAAAGCUAUUUAGGUAGCGCCUCGUGAAUUCAUCUCCGGGGGUAGAGCACUGUUUCGGCUAGGGGGUCAUCCCGACUUACCAACCCGAUGCAAACUGCGAAUACCGGAGAAUGUUAUCACGGGAGACACACGGCGGGUGCUAACGUCCGUCGUGAAGAGGGAAACAACCCAGACCGCCAGCUAAGGUCCCAAAGUCAUGGUUAAGUGGGAAACGAUGUGGGAAGGCCCAGACAGCCAGGAUGUUGGCUUAGAAGCAGCCAUCAUUUAAAGAAAGCGUAAUAGCUCACUGGUCGAGUCGGCCUGCGCGGAAGAUGUAACGGGGCUAAACCAUGCACCGAAGCUGCGGCAGCGAACGUAUCACUUAAAGCGAUUCAGCGGGUUACGAUUGACGGAGCGAAGCGACGUCAAAGCGUAUACAAAGUCGAGUCGGUUUAAGGAUACGUUCGUUGGGUA
rnacentral:rRNA from 1 species